rnacentral:rRNA from 1 species
UACGGAGGGUGCAAGCGUUGUCCGGAUUUAUUGGGUUUAAAGGGUGCGUAGGCGGUCCUUUAAGUCAGUGGUGAAAGCCAACAGCUCAACUGUUGAACUGCCAUUGAUACUGGAGGACUUGAGUACAGACGAGGUAGGCGGAAUUGACGGUGUAGCGGUGAAAUGCAUAGAUAUCGUCAAGAACACCGAUUGCGAAGGCAGCUUACUAGACUGUAACUGACGCUGAGGCACGAAAGUGUGGGGAUCAAACAGG